rnacentral:rRNA from 1 species
UACGGGGGGGGGUAAGCGUUGUUCGGAAUUACUGGGCGUAAAGGGCUCGUAGGCGGCCAACUAAGUCAUACGUGAAAUCCCUCAGCUUAACUGGGGAACUGCGUGUGAUACUGGAUGGCUUGGAUUUGGGAGAGGGAUGCGGAAUUCCAGGUGUAGCGGUGAAAUGCGUAGAUAUCUGGAGGAACACCGGUGGCGAAGGCGGCAUCCUGGACCGGCAUUGACGCUCAUGCACGAAAGCGUGGGGAGCAAACAGG